AUGCCCUCUGGGGAGCUUUCACUGUUACAGCUGGCCCAAGGUCCCACGUCGUUUUCCCCUUUUGAUGGUUUCUCUUACAUUCUCUUUAUUUUUCCAGCGAACCCCAGACCCCCCUCCAUCUUCCCCCUGGUUCCCUGCUGCCCCAAGACUGGCAAUGCUCCCCUGGACACGAGCUUGGCCUGCCUCGUAACUGGCUAUUUCCCAGCACCAGUGGCCAUCAAGUGGAAUUCGGGCAAAGUGACCCAGGGGGUCACAACUUUCCCAGAGGUGACGAUGAGUGACGGGCUCUUCACCCGGAGCAGCCUGCUGAUCAUCCCUGCUGGGUCCCGGCAGGGCGACACCUACCAGUGUGAUGUGACACAUCAAGGGACACCACAGACCCCGUCGAAGAAGUUCCCUCAGGAGUGGUGUGAUUCGACAACACCACCCCAGGUUCACCUCCUGGUCCCCACCUGCGAGGAGAGCUCCACAGGGAGCCAGCUGGAGCUGGUUUGCCUCCUCCUGAGCUUCAAACCCAACAACACUGACGUGAAAUGGCUGGUGAAUGGAAAGGAGAGCAGCCCCCCCACCCCGGCCUUUUCCCCUGCCAUGGGCACAGACGGCUUCUACAUGGGGCAGAGCCGCAGGAACGUCACCAAGCAGAGCUGGGAGCAGGGGGACGUCUACACCUGUCAAGUGACCCACCCAGCAGUGGGAGCAGAGCUCUCCAUGCACAACACCAGCAAGUGCUUGGCCUGCCUCAGAAGCUCACUUGACCCAACCAUCUACUUAACCAAACCCUCCUAUGAAGACGUCAUCAAACAUUCUGGUCAUGUUACCUGUCUAGUUCUGGGCUAUGACUUAGCAGCCAGCAGAAUCGCAUGGAAAGUGGAUGGGCAGGUCAGCUCUGCGGCGAAGACAGAACCCCCCAAGAAGAACAGCAACGGGACCACCAGCCUGGUCAGUUCUCACCCUGUGUCGCUGGCACAAUGGGGACAAGGCACCAAAUUUACCUGCAAAGUGACCACACCCUGUUCUGGAGAACUAACCGAGGAGAUAACCAUGAGCAAUACAGAAAUCAAUAAGAAGGAGCCCUCAGUCUCCGUCUCCCGAGCCUACCACGAAGACAUCUCUGGGAACAGAGUCUUCUUGACUUUCAUCUGUGAAGCUAGCGGCUUUUACCCAGAAGAGAUCAGCAUCUCAUGGUUGAAGAACAACUCCCCGGAACUCAAGUCGAGUUACAACAAUGGCCCUGUGUCAGAAAGUGGCACUUUCUCUGCCUACAGCAUCCUGAAGGUUGAGCAAAGUCAAGAAGAAGGAAAUUACACCUGCGUAGUGCAUCACCCGGCCAUGGAAGAGCCCAAGAGUGUUGUGGAAAAGGUGUCCCUCGGUGUCAGCAACUGUAAUCGACACCCUCUGGAGGUGUCUCUCCUUCCCCCUUCCCUGGAGGACCUCUACAUAGUGCAGAACGCCACCAUCAGUUGUUUGGUGAGCGGCAUGGAGACCCCCGGCAGCCUGGAGGUCUCCUGGAACCGGGGUAGCGGGGGCCCCUUGGCCGUGGUCUCCAGGGAUCCGGUGCUGCAGGAAGAUGGCACCUACAGUGCAACCAGCAUCCUGCGGGUGUGCGUGGAGGAGUGGCAGGCGGGGGAGGAGUUCACCUGCACCGUGAAGCACCAAGACUUCCCGUCGGCCAUUGUCAAGACCAUCCGCAAAAGUCACAUGGUCUCCCUCCGUGCCCCUUCUGUCUACAUUUCCCCUCCUCACGCUGAGGAACUGGCUCUCCGGGAAUCAGCCACCAUCACCUGCCUGGCCUCUGGCUUCCGGCCCAGAGACAUCUUGGUGACAUGGACCCAGCAGGACCGGCCCGUGCCCCAGGAAGCCUACACCAACAUCGGCCCCGUGCGGGAGGCUGGGAAGGAGGAGCGCUACUUCAUCUACAGCAAGCUCAAUGUCUUGGCGUCCGAAUGGGAGCGGGGGGACACCUAUGCCUGCGUGGUGGGGCACGAGGGUCUGCCCAUGACCUUCAUCCACCGGAGCGUGGACAAAGCCUCCGCUCCUCACUGCGCAGUGGAGGACCAAGGCAUCGAUGCUGAAGGAGGAGAGGAGGAAUCUGACGGUCUCUGGACACCUGUUGCCUUCAUUGCUCUCUUCCUGCUCAGCCUGUUGUACAGCGCCGGCGUCACGCUGCUUAAGGUGCGGUGAGCGCCCAGCUCCGGGCUCCUAGGAGGUGGACAGCACUGCUUCAUCCUCUUCAUUCCCUCCCUCCAUCGUCAGCCCUCCCGGGCUCCUGCCCUCUCUCCGGACACCUGGAGGGACCAUGUUCCACGGCAGCUCAGAGGGCGCCACAACGGCCGCUGAAGGGUCUGAGCUCUGCAGAGCCCAGAGCAGGGAGGGCAGAGUC